AUGUUCACUUUGAAAAUAGACAUCUACUUAGAAAGUGGAGAGGGACAAUUUGAUGAUUUACACUCAGGUUUUCCUCUAUCCCUUUCCAGCAGCUGUUUUUUAAGCUUGAGGGAACACUGGCUGACAUACCGAACACCAGAUCCAGAGCCAGCAAGUGGUAUAUAUAAACCUGGAGAUGGCCCAGCAGUCCACACACCACUGAACACUGUAGAGUCACUGAACCUAAUGGCAGAUGGACAUAAACCAGCUUCACAAAGAAAAGUGGAGAGGGAGAAAAACACAGCAAGCACCGAGCUGUCUGUCAGACUAUAUUAAAGGUACCUGGAGUCACAAGAGAAGAUGAAAAAAAGAAAGGACAGAAGAAAUAGUUGAAGAGACAAAAGCUACUAAAAGAGACUUAUAAAUAUAUUCAACCAAGGAUCCAAAGAACUUGGAGUAAGAUAAACGCCUAAUAAAAGCAAAACAAAGUUAAAAUAAGUCA
rnacentral:lncRNA from 1 species